rnacentral:rRNA from 1 species
AUGUUGGGGUUUUUAAUUCGAAGCAACGCGCAGAACCUUACCAGCUCUUGACAUUCGGGGUAUGGGCAUUGGAGACGAUGUCCUUCAGUUAGGCUGGCCCCAGAACAGGUGCUGCAUGGCUGUCGUCAGCUCGUGUCGAGAGAUGUUGGGUUAAGUCCCGCAACGAGCGCAACCCUCGCCCUUAGUUGCCAGCAUUUAGUUGGGCACUCUAAGGGGACUGCCGGUGAUAAGCCGAGAGGAAGGUGGGGAUGACAUCAAGUCCUCAAGGCCCUUACGGGCUGGGCUACAGACGUGCUACAAUGGGGGUGACAGUGGGCAGCGAGACAGCGAUGUCGAGCUAAUCUCCAAAUGCGGUGUCAGUGCGGAUUGCACUCUGAAACUCGAGUGCUUGAAGUUGGAAA